UUAAAUAUAAUAUUUAAUUAAAUUGCUUAAUUAAAGAACAUAUUCAUAAAAAUUAUCAGUAAUGAUUCACAAAUUAUCAAAUCAGCAUAACCUAAGGAUCUAAGGCUACAACAUUAAUGCGUCUUGAUAUCUCGAGUUGUUGUUAACUAGGGUCAACACAUGUGAACUGUAUAAUUUUUAGGAUUCUAUAAUGUGUCGACGUCUAU
rnacentral:lncRNA from 1 species